GAGAGGAGGAGAAAAAGAAAGGAGAAGAAGAAGAAGUCGCCGCCGUUCAUAAUCCUUUUGUUCCGCCGCCGUCCGUCGCCGACCGCCCUCGCCGUUGUUCCUCGUCGCCGUCUGCCACUUUAGAAAUAGGAAAGGAAGAUGAAGUAUCGGGAAAUAUUGGUUCUGGUUCUAUGUUUGCUUGGGUUUGUUUUUGGAGCGGUGUUUGAUACAGUAGUCGGGGAAAUUGCAAUUAUUACGAACUGAACCAAGUUCCACAACAGGGCUGAUCAUAGUUGCGCCAGUUGAAGAUUCAAAAUCCACGUGUUGGGUGUUCUUGAUAUUGCUUGUAGAAUGAUUGAAGUCAUAUCAAACUGAAAGCUAAGCGAUUGUGUAGAAAGUCAGACGAUCGUUGAAGGUUUGAGAAGGCGUUUAAGAUUUCUUAUUUAAGUUUUGUAUUAGGAUCUUGUUUCAUGUACCGUUGUAGAAUAUAUAAACAUAAUAUAAGAUUCCAUUUUGUGUAUACAAAUGUAAAAGACAAAUAUUAUAGUUUCUAAAAUAAUAUUAAUUUUAUUGA